rnacentral:rRNA from 1 species
CCCUCCCUCUUUCUUCAGGCCUAACACAUGCAAGUCGAGCGAGAACUUCGGUCCUAGCGGCGGACGGGUGAGUAACGCGUGGGAACGUGGCCUUUGCUUCGGAAUAGCACUGGGAAACUGGGAGUAAUAUAGGAUGAGCCCUUUGGGGGCAAGAUUUAUCGUAGAAGGAUCGGCACGCGUUGGAUUAGGUAGUUGGUGGGGUAAUGGCCUACCAAGCAGAGGAUCCAUAGCUGGUUUGAGAGGAUGAUCAGCCACACUGGGACUGAGACACGGCCCAGACUCCUACGGGAGGCAGCAGUGGGGAAUCCUAGACAAUGGGGUAAAUCAUGAUCGAGCCAUGCCGGGUGAGCGAUGAAGGCCUUAGGGUUGUAAAGCUCUUUCAGCUGGGAAGAUAAUGACGGUACCCGCAGAAGAAGCCCCGGCUAACUCCGUG